ACCUGGGUGGCUCAGUCGGUUGAGCGUCUGACUGUAGCUCAGGUCAUGAUCUCAAGGUUCAUGAGUUCGAGCCCCACAUCGGGUC
rnacentral:tRNA from 1 species